rnacentral:rRNA from 1 species
GAUGAACGCUGGCGGCGUGCUUAACACAUGCAAGUCGAACGAAGCGAUUUAGCGGAAGUUUUCGGAUGGAAGCUAGAUUGACUGAGUGGCGGACGGGUGAGUAACGCGUGGGUAACCUGCCUCACACUGGGGGACAACAGUUAGAAAUGACUGCUAAUACCGCAUAAGCGCACAGGACCGCAUGGUCCGGUGUGAAAAACUCCGGUGGUGUGAGAUGGACCCGCGUUUGAUUAGCUAGUUGGUGGGGUAACGGCCUACCAAGGCGACGAUCAAUAGCCGACCUGAGAGGGUGACCGGCCACAUUGGGACUGAGACACGGCCCAAACUCCUACGGGAGGCAGCAGUGGGGAAUAUUGCACAAUGGGGGAAACCCUGAUGCAGCGACGCCGCGUGAGUGAAGAAGUAUUUCGGUAUGUAAAGCUCUAUCAGCAGGGAAGAAAAUGACGGUACCUGACUAAGAAGCCCCGGCUAACUACGUGCCAGCCGCCGCCGUAACAC